UACGAGCCACCCGAACGUUAUUCGGAAUUACUGGGCUUAAAGGGUGCGUAGGCGGUGUAGCAAGUCGGGAGUGAAAUACCCCAGCUUAACUGAGGAAUUGCUUUCGAUACUGCUGCGCUUGAGUGAGACAGAGGUAAGUGGAACUUAGGGUGGAGCGGUGAAAUGCGUUGAUAUCCUAAGGAACACCGGUGGCGAAGGCGGCUUACUGGGUCUCAACUGACGCUGAGGCACGAAAGCUAGGGUAGCAAACGGG
rnacentral:rRNA from 1 species